UACGUAGGUGGCAAGCGUUAUCCGGAUUUAUUGGGUUUAAAGGGUGCGUAGGCGGGCUGUUAAGUCAGCGGUAAAAGCCCGGGGCUCAACCCCGGCGAGCCGUUGAAACUGGCUGUCUUGAGAUGUCGAGAGGUAUGCGGAAUGCGCAGUGUAGCGGUGAAAUGCUUAGAUAUUGCGCAGAACUCCGAUUGCGAAGGCAGCAUACCGGCGGCGAUCUGACGCUGAGGCACGAAAGCGUGGGUAUCGAACAGG
rnacentral:rRNA from 1 species